rnacentral:rRNA from 1 species
AUUGAACGCUGGCGGCAUGCUUUACACAUGCAAGUCGAACGGCAGCGCGGGCUUCGGCCUGGCGGCGAGUGGCGAACGGGCGAGUAAUACAUCGGAACGUGCCCAGUAGUGGGGGAUAGCUCGGCGAAAGCCGGAUUAAUACCGCAUACGACCUGAGGGUGAAAGCGGGGGUUCUUCGGACCUCGCGCUAUUGGACCGGCUGAUGGCAGAUUAGCUAGUUGGUGGGGUAAAGGCCUACCAAGGCGACGAUCUGUAGCUGGUCUGAGAGGACGACCAGCCACACUGGGACUGAGACACGGCCCAGACUCCUACGGGAGGCAGCAGGGGGGAAUUUUGGAAAAAGGGCGAAAGCCGGAUCCAGCAAUGCCGCGUGUGUGAUGAAGGCCUUCGGGUUGUAAAGCACUUUUGGCGGGAACGAAAAGGACUGUGCCAAUACCACGGUUCGAUGACGGUACCCGCAGAAUAAGCACCGGCUAACUACGUG